GGUUUCCCUUUACGAAUUGUAGUUUAAAGAAGUGUUUUCUGUUGGAGUUUCGGUAAAAGUUCUUUGGAAUAGGACAUCAUAGAGGGUGAGAAUCCCGUAUUUGACCGUUACCUUCCAGCUGUGUGAUACACUUUCAAAGAGUCGGAUUGUUUGGGAAUGCAGUCCAAAAUGGGUGGUAAAUUUCAUCUAAAGCUAAAUAUUGGCGAGAGACCGAUAGCGAACAAGUACCGUGAGGGAAAGAUGAAAAGAACUUUGAAAAGAGAGUUAAACAGUACGUGAAAUUGUCAAAAGGGAAGCGUUUGACACCAGUGUUGUUUAGUUGAAAAUCAAUUCAAUAGUUUUUGAUUUUAAGUAGUAUUGACUUCAUCAGCUUGCUGCUUUUUUCUCUGAAAUUAUUG
rnacentral:rRNA from 1 species